CCUCCUCCAGCAGCAGGAUGUGAGCCACCUGCAAGAGAGGGUGCCAGCAAAAGGCAUCCUCUAUAAAGGUGAUUGUCUCAGGUAUAGAGUGACUGAAGUUUACUCAGACAAGAACAAGCCUCGCAGAGAAGCACCCUGAAUCACUCAGUGCAAGGCUGGCAUCUUGCAAAUGAUGCACUGGACUCUACACUGAGCCUGGGCUCAGCUGCUGACCCACGAGACCCUGAAGGAGUACAGAGAACUGGUCUUCACAGAGUAGGCGUCUCCCAAGUUUUCACCAACAGAAACUCCACACUAUCUCUUCUCUCUUUAAAGUGUAACCAUCCCAGGCAUUGCUCCCAGAACUGGCAUUAAAUACACCACCUGUAAAGGGCACCAUGGGUACCAACAUAACCUGCCAGAAACCUGGGCAAAUGGAAUCUCAUAUUCAACUAAUAUUCUCUUAUUAAACAACUUUACAAAGCCCCUGGUAA